UGCAGUCUAUGAUGAAGAUUGUAUAUUAUCCUGAUUGUCAGUGAUUAUUAUAAACAAUUCACCAUCUUUCGACUGAGACUGCA
rfam:Daucus carota subsp. sativus cultivar DH1 chromosome 8, whole genome shotgun sequence.